UUAAGCGACUAAGCGUACACGGUGGAUGCCCUGGCAGUCAGAGGCGAUGAAGGACGUGCUAAUCUGCGAUAAGCGUCGGUGAGGUGAUAUGAACCGUUAUAACCGGCGAUUUCCGAAUGGGGAAACCCAGUGUGUUUCGACACACUAUCAUUAACUGAAUCCAUAGGUUAAUGAGGCGAACCGGGGGAACUGAAACAUCUAAGUACCCCGAGGAAAAGAAAUCAACCGAGAUUCCCCCAGUAGCGGCGAGCGAACGGGGAGCAGCCCAGAGCCUGAAUCAGUGUGUGUGUUAGUGGAAGCGUCUGGAAAGGCGUGCGAUACAGGGUGACAGCCCCGUACACAAAAAUGCACAUACUGUGAGCUCGAUGAGUAGGGCGGGACACGUGGUAUCCUGUCUGAAUAUGGGGGGACCAUCCUCCAAGGCUAAAUACUCCUGACUGACCGAUAGUGAACCAGUACCGUGAGGGAAAGGCGAAAAGAACCCCGGCGAGGGGAGUGAAAAAGAACCUGAAACCGUGUACGUACAAGCAGUGGGAGCCUCUUAAUGGGGUGACUGCGUACCUUUUGUAUAAUGGGUCAGCGACUUAUAUUCUGUAGCAAGGUUAACCGAAUAGGGGAGCCGAAGGGAAACCGAGUCUUAACUGGGCGUUAAGUUGCAGGGUAUAGACCCGAAACCCGGUGAUCUAGCCAUGGGCAGGUUGAAGGUUGGGUAACACUAACUGGAGGACCGAACCGACUAAUGUUGAAAAAUUAGCGGAUGACUUGUGGCUGGGGGUGAAAGGCCAAUCAAACCGGGAGAUAGCUGGUUCUCCCCGAAAGCUAUUUAGGUAGCGCCUCGUGAAUUCAUCUCCGGGGGUAGAGCACUGUUUCGGCAAGGGGGUCAUCCCGACUUACCAACCCGAUGCAAACUGCGAAUACCGGAGAAUGUUAUCACGGGAGACACACGGCGGGUGCUAACGUCCGUCGUGAAGAGGGAAACAACCCAGACCGCCAGCUAAGGUCCCAAAGUCAUGGUUAAGUGGGAAACGAUGUGGGAAGGCCCAGACAGCCAGGAUGUUGGCUUAGAAGCAGCCAUCAUUUAAAGAAAGCGUAAUAGCUCACUGGUCGAGUCGGCCUGCGCGGAAGAUGUAACGGGGCUAAACCAUGCACCGAAGCUGCGGCAGCGACACUAUGUGUUGUUGGGUAGGGGAGCGUUCUGUAAGCCUGCGAAGGUGUACUGUGAGGUAUGCUGGAGGUAUCAGAAGUGCGAAUGCUGACAUAAGUAACGAUAAAGCGGGUGAAAAGCCCGCUCGCCGGAAGACCAAGGGUUCCUGUCCAACGUUAAUCGGGGCAGGGUGAGUCGACCCCUAAGGCGAGGCCGAAAGGCGUAGUCGAUGGGAAACAGGUUAAUAUUCCUGUACUUGGUGUUACUGCGAAGGGGGGACGGAGAAGGCUAUGUUGGCCGGGCGACGGUUGUCCCGGUUUAAGCGUGUAGGCUGAUUUUCCAGGCAAAUCCGGAAAAUCAAGGCUGAGGCGUGAUGACGAGGCACUACGGUGCUGAAGCAACAAAUGCCCUGCUUCCAGGAAAAGCCUCUAAGCAUCAGGUAACAUCAAAUCGUACCCCAAACCGACACAGGUGGUCAGGUAGAGAAUACCAAGGCGCUUGAGAGAACUCGGGUGAAGGAACUAGGCAAAAUGGUGCCGUAACUUCGGGAGAAGGCACGCUGAUAUGUAGGUGAAGUCCCUUGCGGAUGGAGCUGAAAUCAGUCGAAGAUACCAGCUGGCUGCAACUGUUUAUUAAAAACACAGCACUGUGCAAACACGAAAGUGGACGUAUACGGUGUGACGCCUGCCCGGUGCCGGAAGGUUAAUUGAUGGGGUUAGCGGUAACGCGAAGCUCUUGAUCGAAGCCCCGGUAAACGGCGGCCGUAACUAUAACGGUCCUAAGGUAGCGAAAUUCCUUGUCGGGUAAGUUCCGACCUGCACGAAUGGCGUAAUGAUGGCCAGGCUGUCUCCACCCGAGACUCAGUGAAAUUGAACUCGCUGUGAAGAUGCAGUGUACCCGCGGCAAGACGGAAAGACCCCGUGAACCUUUACUAUAGCUUGACACUGAACAUUGAGCCUUGAUGUGUAGGAUAGGUGGGAGGCUUUGAAGUGUGGACGCCAGUCUGCAUGGAGCCGGCCUUGAAAUACCACCCUUUAAUGUUUGAUGUUCUAACGUUGGCCCCUGAUCGGGGUUGCGGACAGUGUCUGGUGGGUAGUUUGACUGGGGCGGUCUCCUCCUAAAGAGUAACGGAGGAGCACGAAGGUUGGCUAAUCCUGGUCGGACAUCAGGAGGUUAGUGCAAUGGCAUAAGCCAGCUUGACUGCGAGCGUGACGGCGCGAGCAGGUGCGAAAGCAGGUCAUAGUGAUCCGGUGGUUCUGAAUGGAAGGGCCAUCGCUCAACGGAUAAAAGGUACUCCGGGGAUAACAGGCUGAUACCGCCCAAGAGUUCAUAUCGACGGCGGUGUUUGGCACCUCGAUGUCGGCUCAUCACAUCCUGGGGCUGAAGUAGGUCCCAAGGGUAUGGCUGUUCGCCAUUUAAAGUGGUACGCGAGCUGGGUUUAGAACGUCGUGAGACAGUUCGGUCCCUAUCUGCCGUGGGCGCUGGAGAACUGAGGGGGGCUGCUCCUAGUACGAGAGGACCGGAGUGGACGCAUCACUGGUGUUCGGGUUGUCAUGCCAAUGGCACUGCCCGGUAGCUAAAUGCGGAAGAGAUAAGUGCUGAAAGCAUCUAAGCACGAAACUUGCCCCGAGAUGAGUUCUCCCUGACUCCUUGAGAGUCCUGAAGGAACGUUGAAGACGACGACGUUGAUAGGCCGGGUGUGUAAGCGCAGCGAUGCGUUGAGCUAACCGGUACUAAUGAACCGUGAGGCUUAACCU
rnacentral:rRNA from 1 species